GUCCCUGUUGAUCAACGCAGAUCACUUCAUUCCUAUACAGCAUCUGCAAGUUGGUUUAAUGGAGACACGGGCGUUCGAUUCGCCCCGGGGACA